rnacentral:rRNA from 1 species
UACGGAGGGAGCUAGCGUUGUUCGGAAUUACUGGGCGUAAAGCGCACGUAGGCGGCUUUUUAAGUCAGGGGUGAAAUCCCGGGGCUCAACCCCGGAACUGCCCUUGAAACUGGAGAGCUAGAAUCUUGGAGAGGCGAGUGGAAUUCCGAGUGUAGAGGUGAAAUUCGUAGAUAUUCGGAAGAACACCAGUGGCGAAGGCGACUCGCUGGACAAGUAUUGACGCUGAGGUGCGAAAGCG